UAUGGUAAAUGAAUGAAUGAUGCGAGAGACAAAUUGAGUCUUCACUUCUCUAUGCUUGGACUGAAGGGAGCUCCCUAUUUUUAUCUUUCUCAGAGUACCACAUUUUAUAUCUAUAUAUAUACAAGCAUUGAAUUCGUGUGUAUAACUCAAGAUCAAGUUCAACAUUGAUCGAUAUGAAUAUAAAUAAGUUUGACA
rnacentral:precursor_RNA from 1 species